rnacentral:rRNA from 1 species
AACGAACGCUGGCGGCAUGCCUAACACAUGCAAGUCGAACGAGACCUUCGGGUCUAGUGGCGCACGGGUGCGUAACGCGUGGGAACCUGCCCUUAGGUGCGGAAUAACUCCCCGAAAGGGGUGCUAAUACCGGAUAAUGUCUUCGGACCAAAGAUUUAUCGCCUUUGGAUGGGCCCGCGUUGGAUUAGCUAGUUGGUAGGGUAAAAGGCUACCAAGGCGACGAUCCAUAGCUGGUCUGAGAGGAUGAUCAGCCACACUGGGACUGAGACACGGCCCAGACUCCUGCGGGAGGCAGCAGUGGGGAAUAUUGGACAAUGGGCGAAGGCCUGAUCCAGCAAUGCCGAGUGAGUAAUGAAGGCUUUAGGGUUGUAAAGCUCUUUUACCCGGGAUGAUAAUGACAGUACCGGGAGAAUAAGCGCCGGCUAACUCCGU